rnacentral:rRNA from 1 species
UACGGGGGGGAGCAAGCGUUGUUCGGAUUUACUGGGCGUAAAGGGCGCGUAGGCGGCGUGACAAGUCACUUGUGAAAUCUCCGGGCUUAACUCGGAACGGUCAAGUGAUACUGUCGUGCUAGAGUACAGAAGGGGCAACUGGAAUUCUCGGUGUAGCGGUGAAAUGCGUAGAUAUCGAGAGGAACACCUGCGGCGAAGGCGGGUUGCUGGGCUGAUACUGACGCUGAUGCGCGAAAGCCAGGGGAGCGAACGGG